rnacentral:rRNA from 1 species
GAUGAACGCUGGCGGCGUGCCUAAUACAUGCAAGUCGAGCGAACAGACGAGGAGCUUGCUCCUCUGACGUUAGCGGCGGGCGGGUGAGUAACACGUGGAUAACCUACCUAUAAGACUGGGAUAACUUCGGGAAACCGGAGCUAAUACCGGAUAAUAUAUUGAACCGCAUGGUUCAAUAGUGAAAGACGGUUUUGCUGUCACUUAUAGAUGGAUCCGCGCCGCAUUAGCUAGUUGGUAAGGUAACGGCUUACCAAGGCAACGAUGCGUAGCCGACCUGAGAGGGUGAUCGGCAACACUGGAACUGAGACACGGUCCAGACUCCUACGGGAGGCAGCAGUAGGGAAUCUUCCGAAAUGGGCGAAAGCCUGACGGAGCAACGCCGCGUGAGUGAUGAAGGUCUUCGGAUCGUAAAACUCUGUUAUUAGGGAAGAACAAAUGUGUAAGUAACUAUGCACGUCUUGACGGUACCUAAUCAGAAAGCCACGGCUAACUACGUG